rnacentral:lncRNA from 1 species
CCGCAGUCCAGCAGGUCUGGGAGAGGGUGGAUGCCAGACUGUGCGUUAAUGUUAAUGAUGAGCGCAGUGAAAAUACCAGCCGCCGCCACCCCUUGCACACAGAAGCGCUCUGAGUCAGCAUCAGAUGCUAGCCCGACUCUCUCCGUGUGUCUGUGUGCCUGUGUGCGCGCGCGUGCUCGCUCGGGCAUCCGUGUCUAGCCGAGGGGAGGGGGUGGCGUGUGAGUGCGUGGAGGGUAAAAGCCAGUCAGUCAGUGAGAAGCAAAGGUACGUUGGAGAGCAACUAAAAUCUGACUGAUUUCCAUCUUUGGAGCAUCAGAUGUAUUCCCUAAGGAGGAUGGGUCUCCGUGAUGGGGGUGGUAUAAUUAUGUUAAUGUCAUAUUUAUGGAGGGAUCAACCACUUCUGAAGAACCAGAUUCCACUUCUGUGGCCAGGAGUUUUAUGCUGUGCUAAGUGUGAUUGUUUCGCCCUGCAUUCUGUGCUCCUAAACCUUGGAUAAUUCCUAAAGUACAGAUUCUGCUCUUCCACAACAAGGCGAAAAGAUGGGAGAGAAUUUGAUGAAUAGUCAGGAUUGAGACUGUGUAUUUUCAAAAGUAUUGAACUUUAUAAUGUAAUUAUUCAAAGUAAAGGAUCUUUUUUGUUUUCUUACUAUGUUGCCAGGAUUUUAAGUUAAAGCUUGUUAGGUGGUCUUGUUCAAAUAACUAUGAAGUGUGCAUGAAAAUAUUUGCUGUCUGAAUGGUUUGCAUAUUUAAAGAGAAAAAUCAACAUUAAUAGGUAUUAAAUUAUGACAUAUUCAAAGUUUUUGUUUAAAUCUUAUCUGUAAUAAUUUAAAUGAGAGUUUGAAGUGUUGUAUAUCCUGGGCCCACAGUAACAGUUGUGAUAUAUAAAACUUCAAUAGAAGCAAAAUAUCAAUUAGGGCCCCAUUAACUGGCAUAUAAUCCUUUUUUAGUGUAAUAGAAGUGGGUGUUGCUGUAAAAAUCUGCAAGCAGCAGAUUUUAACCCAUUUUUGUCUCCUUCUUUGGAUAGAAUGGGGUGAUUCUUAAAUGUCCAUUGUCUGCUUUGUUUUUCAUGCCCCACAUUACUGUAAGUUCUGAUCUAUAGGUGGCCGUACUGAUUGUCCAGCUCAUCUUUGACUUUCAUGUGUUACUUAUGUUUCUGUCU